rnacentral:rRNA from 1 species
UACGUAGGGUGCGAGCGUUAAUCGGAAUUACUGGGCGUAAAGCGUGCGCAGGCGGUGAUGUAAGACAGAUGUGAAAUCCCCGGGCUCAACCUGGGAACUGCAUUUGUGACUGCAUCGCUGGAGUGCGGCAGAGGGGGGUGGAAUUCCCGGUGUAGCGGUGGAGUGCGUAGAGAUCGGGAAGAACAUCAGUGGCGAAGGCGGCCUGCUGGGCUGUUGCUGACGCUGAGGCGCGACAGCGUGGGGAGCAAACAGG